rnacentral:rRNA from 1 species
UACGAAGGGGGCUAGCGUUUUUCGGAAUCACUGGGCGUAAAGCGCACGUAGGCGGAUUGUUAAGUCAGGGGUGAAAUCCCGAGGCUCAACCUCGGAACUGCCUUUGAUACUGGCGAUCUAGAGUCCGGGAGAGGUGAGUGGAACUGCGAGUGUAGAGGUGAAAUUCGUAGAUAUUCGCAAGAACACCAGUGGCGAAGGCGGCUCACUGGCCCGGAACUGACGCUGAGGUGCGAAAGCGUGGGGAGCAAACAGG